UCUCCUGUCUUAACCCUUGGUCCCUUCAGCAGUUUAUUUCAGUAGAUCUGCCUGUUCUGCUCCCCACUCUGUCUCUGGUGAAUUCUCUUACCCCCUCCACCUCUGGCCUGCACCUCACUUCUAUGCAAAAAUAAAUAAACAAAAUCUUUUUAAAAAGAGAAAGACCCAACAGAAGAAGCAGGAACUAGGAAGUCCAUUACACUAGCACUGAUUGGCAAGGACGCUGGGUGUUGUCAAGACAGUUGGAUGGAGUUGGAUAAGGGAACGUCUCUGACAUUGCAAAAUAGAAGACAGUCUAGCCCAUUUUUCAGGAAACAAAGCACC